rnacentral:rRNA from 1 species
UACGUAGGUGGCAAGCGUUUGUCCGGAUUUAUUGGGUUUAAAGGGUGCGUAGGCGGUUUUUUAAGUCAGUGGUGAAAUACGUCAGCUUAACUGGCGAGGUGCCAUUGAUACUGGGGAACUUGAGUACUGAUGAGGUAGGCGGAAUGGACGGUGUAGCGGUGAAAUGCUUAGAUAUCGUCCAGAACACCGAUGGCGAAGGCAAUCCCCUGGACCUGUACUGACGCUCAUGCACGAAAAGGCGUGGGGAGCAAACAGG